CAAUCUCGAAAGGUAUCUACGGGUACCUUUCAAGAUUUAAAAUUUCUUUUUUCCAGCGGGGUGUGAGCGAUGGGUAUGCUUUUGCACUUCAACGAUGCCGAGAGGGAGCUGAACGCCAAGCUGAAGCCUCACCUCCACUCGAUCCAUGCGUCGCUUAAGCUGGACCAGGACAUCACCGACGCCAACGUCGCCAUCUUAAAGACAAUAUUGGACGACAUCUACGAGCAGAUCAAGCGGAACGAUCCCCUCUUCAAAAAGAUUUGUAGGAGGCUCGUGUACACUGGAAGUUACUACAUCCGGCUACGGACCAAGAAAGCAGACGAAUUCGACAUCAAUCUUGUCCUGGAUUUACCUUUUCGGAAAGGUGAAUUUACCAUUUUGGACGAACGUCCCGGCUAUGUCGGCUACAAAGUCAGCCUAGCGGCCGUCAACAGGCUUCUCCAAGAAGGAGAAAAGGAGUGGGUCCAUCCCUUGCUCAAGUUGAUCAACGGCGAGAAUAGGCUUAUGCCCGAGAGGGUCAAGAGGAGCCUGCAGUCUGCCUUCGACCGGGUUCUCCAAACCUAUGUCAUCCCUUCUGGACUUCGCUCAUCCGUGGCUAGGAUUCGGCCAAGUCAGAGUGGACCUGCCAAGACAUUCCGUAUCAUUCUUAAAGAUGGCCAGUGGAUUGAUGUAGAUCUUGUGCCUGUGAUAGAAUUUUGUUACCCCAACUGGCCCAGUGGCAUUGAGAAGAAAGACUGGAUGGAUAAGAUUUCUCCCUUGGAUCAGAACUGGUUCCUGGUUCCAAAAUCACCUAUGUCCAAUCCCUCUAUGCCCGACGGCUCCCACUUGUGGCGGCUAGACUUCCAAAAUAUGGAAAACAGGCUGAUUCAAGACUAUGGUUGCGUCAAGCCCAUCAUUCGUUUGCUCAAGACUACGAGGGAUUCUUACACGUGGAACCUCUCCUCGUAUUCCUUGAAGACGUUUGUCAUGCAUCAGCUCUUGGCAAAGUAUGACCGGGGAUACUGGGACCCCAAAAACCAGGGGAUCCUUUUUAUCACGACUCUACAGUUUUGGGCUGGCUUGGGUAGAUCCCGCGAGGCUGCCGGGGGCGGCCGAGGCGACGCAUCAGGUGCGAGAAUUUGUGCGGGAUCAUCUGAUAGUGGCUGAGCACCUGCUGCCAGUGCGGACUGAUUACGAUAGUGGUGUGGAGGAUGACUAUGUGGACAGCGAAUAACAGCUGAUACUUCGUGUCACCUCCUCAUCGCUUUCGAUAUGUCAUCUGUCGGUCCAGGCUGGAGAGGAUCCCCCACAAAGCUGCACCUGCCAAAAGAGUGCUCCCGGAAGCAAGCGAUCUUCAUAUCCUCAUCGCACGCCCUGACUUUGUAAAUAGUUUUUAGACUGUGUACCGCAUUGCUCGCGAGAUGUCAUUUCCCAAACUUUUUGCCGUCGGUGUGUCUUGAAACAUCUUGUAUUGCUGUACAUUUUUUUUCUAUAAUCCGAUAGUGUACCCAUAUCGAGCGAUCUCUCUCCUCGUCGAAGAUCCUAACCUCGUAAAUAUUUUUGGACUGGCUCGCGCGCGUUGUUCGUGAGAUGUCAUUUCAC
rnacentral:misc_RNA from 1 species